AAAUUACCCAAUCCUGAUUCAGGGAGGUAGUGACAAGAAAUAACAACUCGGGGCCUCACGGCUUACGAGAUUGCAAUGAGAACAAUUUAAAUCUCUUAGCGAGGAACAAUUGGAGGGCAAGUCUGGUGCCAGCAGCCGCGGUAAUUCCAGCUCCAAUAGCGUAUAUUAAAGUUGUUGCAGUUAAAAAGCUCGUAGUUGAAUUUCUGAUUAUGGAUGUAGCGGUUUCCGUUACAUUUGUAGUCAUCCACAUGAGAACCUUUCUCGGCCUUCACUGGUCGGUUGGGGGAGUCAUGUACUUUACUUUGUAAAAAAUACAGAGUGUUUCUAGGCAGGCGUUUGUCAUGAAUACACAAGCAUGGAAUAAUGGAAUAGGACUAGGGUCCAUUUAUUGGUUAUUGGACCAUAGUAAUGAUUAAUAGGGACAGUUGGGGGCGAUUAGUAUUUAAUU
rnacentral:rRNA from 1 species